AAUCAAUUAUGUGAUGGUUGAGUUUCUCUUUGUAUAUGAAUUAUCGAUCAUUGAAUAAAAGUUAUUUUGAUAUUUUUUAUCAUAAAGUAACAUCUUUCUUGAACUCUUAUGCUGUGAUAAAGUCCUUAGAACUAUGCUAGUGUAUGAUAAAGAGAGGAUUUACCAUAUAGUUCUUAAACAUGUUCGCAAUCAAAUGAUACGUCAUUACAGAAUGAUGAUAUUUAUCGAGUGG
rnacentral:lncRNA from 1 species